rnacentral:lncRNA from 1 species
UCGAAUUAAUUUUUUCAAUAGCUAUCAAAACCUAAAAGUUUCAAUGUAUGGCUUGAAAAUUUUUCAUUGUGAUGUUCAUGUCAAACUUUGAUCAACAUUUUUCUUGUUUGUGGUGGCUGUGGGCUAUAGGACCAUAACAAUAAGUUCGUUCUUACCGAUACAGGGGAGAGGAGAAAUUGGUAGUAAACUAAUGACUGAAACUUAUGAGUUAACAGAAGAAUGCUUGCAAAUAAACUAUUAUGGUGCUAAAAGAACAGCUGAAGCACUUAUCCCACUCCUCCAGUUAUCUGACUCACCGAGAAUUGUUAACGUUUCGUCUUUCCUGGGGAAGUUAAUGCAUAUACCAAGCGAUUGGGCUAGAGGAGUUUUUACUGAUGCUGAAAACCUAACAGAAGAGAGAGUAGAUGAGGUACUGACCGAGCUUCUAAAAGAUUUCAAGGAGGGUUCACUUGAAAGUAAGGGCUGGCCUUCUCCUUCGUCUGCCUAUGUAGUCUCGAAAGCUGCACUGAACGCAUAUACAAGGAUUCUAGCAAAGAAGUACCCCACUUUUCGUAUCAAUUCGUUAUGCCCUGGCUUUGUCAAAACAGAUAUAAACUACAAUGCCGGUGUCCUACCUGUCAAAGAUGGGGCUGCAAGGGUUAUGAAGUUAGCAUUGCUGCCCAAUGAUGGCCCUUCUGGCUCCUUCUUUGUUCACUAUGAAGUGUCAGAUUUUUAAUUGAAGAUGAUUGUUGUGAAAUUUAUUGCAAGCGCACAAUUCGCACAAGUAAUACAGUGAUGAGUGAAGUGUCGUUCCCACGAAGAGUGAUUUAAUUUACUAAGUACCGAUUGUGAGAAAAAUAAAAGCAAGCGUAGAGAAAUAAAGUAGUGAGAUUCAAGUUAUGAGAGCACUAGAGCUUCCGAUUUCACCAUAGCCAAUUUUACCCAAUUCCCUUAGCAUGUUAAUCCUAAUUAUUCUCUAUGUAGACAGUUGAUUUUCCCUACUUUAUUCGAUACUCCAUCCCUGGUUAUAUCAAAAGUAUUCUUAUUACCAACCCACUCUAUCCCUAGUAAUGGAAUUAAGAUAAUAAGAACCCAUUAAAUUCCUUGGAAACCCUACAAAACAACCACAUAAGUCACGACAAACAUCCAUGUCUAAUCAUGUAACUCAUGGCAUCUAUUACAAGAAGCAACCCCAAAUUGGAUAUCCCUGUCGUCAAUUUAGCAUCAAAACAAUUAAAUGUUGGCCAAACAUUCAAAGCAUUAAGCAUGGUACUCAACAUGGAAAAAUACUUGGAAUUAACAUUGACUAAAGUAAUUGAGUAUUCAUGGCUAGGCUACAUCGUAGCACUGGUAAGAAGAAAUUAGUUCAUGAAAACUUUAAUAAAAACCAUGAUAAAUAGUAUCAUAGGAAAGAAAAAAACCAAUUGAAGAUUUGAUCUCUGCACGACACCAACUCUAGCUCCAGGUCGUCUUCUUUGUCUCUCUAAAACUCUCUCUCCUUUGAGUGUUUCGGCUAUAAGUAUGAAUGUGUAGGAAUUUGUGAGGCUAGAUGAUGGAGGAUGGUGGGUAAUGGAUUCUUUGAACAAUGACCUAAACUCCCUAUUUAUAAAACUCUUAGGAAUCCUACCUAAUGAAUAAUUACAAUUGUUAUAAAAAUAGGAUUCCUUCUAAUAUAAGGUCUUCUUUAUUCCUCCUUGUUUGACUUGAUAAGACUUGAACCAUCUUGAACUAAGAAAUUUGACAACAUUCCUUGCAACAAAAGGAAUGACUUGGCUUCUUUUUAAUUGAUCUCCAAUCUUCAUCUUCUUGCCUUUUUUUAGCACACUUUCUCCUAUUUCAUAAUUCCUUCACAAAUCUCACAAAACCAAUUAAAAACAACUAAUUUAAUCCAAGAAAUUAAUAAAUAAAUAAGCAAAUGAGGCAUAAAAUAUAUAUAUAUAAAAUAUAGACUUAUCAAUGAUCCAUUUAUGCAAAUUAAAUACAUGUAAUGUAUUUGGCAGGAUCUUUAACUUUUAAUGUAACAAAGUAUAUUUGUGACAGGACCCGCCCCGAAUUUUCCGAAAUUCUAGAUGAAUCCUGUGGAAUUCCCGACAUCACCCCGAUGCCGAGCCCACUUACUAAGGACCGGGACUUUCUGCCGAAAUUUCAGCAGAGUCUCCCUUGUAAAUUGAUCAUUCCCCAAAUUUUUUAACCUGUAUAAAACACAUUUGAUAUCCACAACUGGCAGCAUGCACAAGAUAAUUUCAUGCAAAUCACAUAAUCGGCCUCCGGCCUUCAAAUAAUUCGAAACUAAACCACCAACAAACUCUAAACACAAUUAUGAACGCCAAAUGCGAUUUCCAUCAUCUAAAUUCCCAAAUAUUGAACGUACAAAAUUAAACCUCCUAACAAGACUACAUCUCAUUUUCACCUAAAUUUCAGGACCAACAAGAAAGUCCAAACCAAUCUUCAUCACACAACAUGAGUAAAGUUUAGCCCGCGGCUGUACCUAGGCACUACCCUAGGCUGCCUACGUACCCUUACUAAGGGAUCAAGCCACACGUAGUUCUUUCCAUACAAAAUUUCCAAAUCCAUCAACAUGCAAUCAAUUCUAGAAAUCCCCGCCCGAAAAUCCUACGCCACGUGUGACUUAACCAUCAUGUCAUCUCCCCAUACGCCGGAAAUUCCAACGCCACGUAUGGGAUUUGUCUUAACGUCGGAAAAUCCUACGACAAGCGAGACCUAACAAUCACAUAAUCUCCCCAUAUGCCGGAAAUUCCAACGCCACAUAUGGGGUCUGUUAGCACGCCGGAUAACCUAUGCCACGUGUGACCUAACAAUCAUAGCAUCUCCCCAUACGCCAGAAAUUCCAACGCCAUGUAUGGGGUCUGUCCUCACGCCGGAUAACCUACGCCACGUGGGACCUAACAAUCACAUAAUCUCCUCAUAUGCCGAAAAUUACAACGCCACAUAUGGGGUCUGUCAGCAUGCCGGAUAACCUACGCCACGUGUGACCUAACAAUCAUAGCAUCUCCUCAUACGCGCGGAAAUUCCAACGCCACAUAUGGGGUUUGUCCUUACGCUGGAUAACCUACGUCACGUGGGACCUAACAAUCACAGGGUAAUACUUAGGGUAGUGUGUAUAGCACUUCAAACUGACAUACUCUCAAUUAUCUAAACUAAUACUAGAGGUAUUCCCACUUUAGUGAUACCAGUCUAUAGUAGACUGCAACGUAAUUUAAUCAGGAAAGUAAUAUUAUUUUUAGACCAAUGAUCAUGCACAUAAACAUAAAUUUCAUAAUUUCAAUUAUUAAAACAAUAUCUAAGAGUUUCCUACAAUAAUAAUAAACACUCUAAAAAAUCUCAACCUAGUCAACAUAGCUCAACAACGCUCAAGACCUGUCACUAGGGUCAUUAUAAUCCUUCUAGGAAGGUAAAACUACCUCCGAAGACUCACGGUCAACCAAGGGUCAAACUACCCAAACUUGGUCAAAUGGGCCCACGGGGCCCAUGACCUCCAAAUUCCGAUCCUAAAGUUCCUAUGUGUUCUACAAGGCUUAUGACACAUGUUCUGCAAUCUGGACCAAACUUGCAGAACGUCCGGGGUUCCGAUUCACACAUAAACUUUAAGUUAUUAAAUCGGAACAUCCGGGGCUCCGAUUCACGAUCCAUGAAUUCCUACACGAUCCUAGAAAUUCCUAGGUUAACACAUAUCAAAUUCGAGACCAUCCAAAGGUCCAAACCUAUCGAGCCCGGAUAACACGCAAUAGGCGAUAUCCGUUCGAGACUCAAACGGUAUCCAAAUUGAAAUCCGAGCACACCUACGCACUCGUGAGGACCGGGAGAUUACAUCGGGAUAUAGUGCCCUUUUUCUACAGUGCCCACUCGCCGCCGCACGCGCCGGCAGCGCGUGGGUGCCCAAAGCGAUUACGCAUCGCUGAAAAAUCCCAAAACCACGGCUCCAAACUCCUACCCUAGGUAUAUUUGGAACCACUUUUGUUCUGGACCUACCCCAAAAACUGACCGGAAGUGGCCGGAAUCGCGAUCCCAAAAUCGGCCGAACCCUAAAUCCAAAAUCGAACGACUUAGGCUAAAAAUAAAUGUAAUCCUGCCCAACCAUCAGCUAGAGCAUGGAACAUAGGUAGAAAUCCAUGCCUUACUCGUCAAAUUUGGAGGAAAAAUGAGGGAGAACUAACGGUUUGAAAAUCUGUGAAAACCGACUCGUUUUCUGCAGAUUCCGGCGGCUAGAGUGGCUAACGGAGGCAGAGACCGGGUGGGAUGAGAAGAGGAGGAGGUGGCAGUUCGAACAAGACUGGUCUCGAGGCCGGUUGUUGACGAUGGCGACGGCAGUGGCUCUUGGAAGCCACGGCUGUGCAGAAAACAGAAGGUAGGAAGGUCACUACGCGCGCAGGGAGAGAGAGAGAGAGAGAGAGAGAGAGAGAGAGAGAGAGAGAGAGAGAGAGAGAGAGAGAGAGAGAGAGAGAGAGAAAAUCUGGUUUUUAAAAACCAACUUCAAAAUAUUUACAGUUUUGCCACUGAGCUUGUUUUGCUCGUAACUUCUUCGUUACAACUCCAAAUCGAGUCCACCACAUGUCUACGGACUGACCUCACCGUGCUCUACGCAACGGUAUAGUCGAAAUUCUCAAAUUCCUUCCCGGUCAAAAAGUAAACUUUAGACCUAAUAAAAUAUUUUAGGGGCAAAAUGGUAUUUUCUUUGAAUAAAUUAGUAUUUACUAAUUUAUUUAGGACCGGGUCGAUACAAUUUGGACCCAGCAACAGAUCCUUUUUAAGUUCUUUCUACAUUCAACAUGACUCGAGGAUGGCAUAGAUUCAAUAGUCCUGUAUGAUUGCAUCUCUAAUACAUUGCUUGUUUACAUUUCUACUUAUCAACUGACUCUUGAACCCAUAUUAUCAUUUACAUUAUUAUAAUCAGAAAUUCUAUGUGAUUGGUGUCCAUCCUUUGAUCAAAAUGAUCAAUAUCAUUUCGGUAUAUACUUCUUAUGGACAUGUUGACAACAAUUAUAUUAACAUGUUAUUGACAAUCCGUUAUUAAUUAAGAAAUGACAUAGGUGUACAGAAGAAUUGAACAUUCAAUUGUUUGUUUAAUAAAGAAAAAGACAACAUGAGUCUCUUUAACAAUCAUGUUUUUGGAUUGGAGCAGCCUAAUUCACCAAUGAUCAUGCACAUAAACAUAAAUUUCAUAAUUUGAACAACUUGGGCACUUGCGUCACUAUCCCCCUCUUUUUCCUUAAUACUCCGAAACAAAAAUCCGAGCAAAUGUUGGUCCAUCUGUCCCAUUCAAUGACUUCUAGAAAGCAUUAUAGGAACAAACGAAUCGAUUUGAAUAUAAUACUCAAAAUACAAAAGCUUCCCAACAACUUCACGUUAUAAAAGAAAAUAAAGAUCCUUCUGUUUAGUCUCAUUUCUUACCCCUGCUUUUUUCCGAGAAAGAUACAUUUAGGCUUUUAUUAUCUUCUUAUUCAUUCAUAUCGUGGAUGUAGACAUUGCUUGUCACGUGCGUGCGUACGUCUCCAUAAUUGACUUGAGGCUAGCUUUUCAAUUACUCAUGUAGAAUUUUUUUUUUUCAAGUGCCCAUAGAGAUAAGACUUCCAUAUAUGGGGCUCACCUCAAUUAAAAAUGUAGUUAGUAAAGUGGUACACGAUUGUUUUUAUAUAUGCUCAGAUAUUUAAUUUUACAAAAAUAAUGCAUCCAACUAACUCAACCAAAAAAGUUGCAUCCAAUUAAUUAUGUUCUUAGAAUAUCGAUACAAAAUAAAUUAGGUGUUAAAAAGAUAUUUAUUUUUGCAAAAAUAAUGCAUCCAACUAACUCAACUAAAAAAGUUGCAUCCAAUUAAUGAUGUUCUUGGAAUAUUGAUACAAAAUAAAUUAGGUGUUACAAAGAUAUUUAUUUUUGCAAAAAUAAUGCAUCCAACUAACUCAACCAAAAAAGUUGCAUCCAAUUAAUGUUGUUCUUGGAAUAUUGAUACAAAAUAAAUUAGGUGUUAAAAAAUAUUUAAUAUCUAAAUAUGAUCUAUUACGACUUAUCGUCACAAUCAUGGUAAUUAUUCAAAAGGUGUAACAUCCCUUAUACAAUUUAAUCGAUUUAAUCAAAUUUAAUUCUUUUGUGAAAUUUCAAUUUUGCCCUUGGGAGUAGGGGUACUUUGGUCACUUUAAGAAAAAAAAAACAUUUAUUGUAUGGUAUUACGUAAUGAUGUAAGUUUGUGUUAUUUUAUGUGAGGCCCCAAUUUAAGGUUAGCACAGGGCCCUCAAAAUCUCAAGACCGGCCCUGGGCCCCGUUGGGGAAGCCCUUGUGAACAUGUUGUUGAAAGGGCUCUCUGGUCUGUCAACGUGUGCAGUUGCGUCACUACCUUCAUCCUUUUCCUUAACACUCCAAGCAAAUGUUGUUCCGUCUUUCCCAUUCAAUGACUUCUAGAAAACAUUACAGGCAGGCACUCUUUUCUUUCUCCAGAAUAGGAACAAACGGCUUUUCAAGAACAUUUUACUAUAAAACAAAAGAAGCCUCCUUCUGUUUAGUCUCAUUUCUCACAGACCGUCCCAUAUCGAAUCAUCAAUAUGGCAGAAGCACCAAAGAGGUAGCACUUUAGAGUCCUUUAUGCUUUGGUUCCUUGUCACACCUCCAUUCCCUCUCAUUGUUUCUGCUUAUCAUUUUUGUGUCAUGAAUUUGGUGUUUUUGUUUUUUCCAGGUAUGCAGUUGUUACUGGGGCAAACAAAGGCAUAGGAUUGGAAACUGUGAGGCAAUUGGCCUCAAAUGGAUUCACUGUAGUCUUAACUGCCAGAGAUGAGAAAAGGGGUCUUGAAGCUGCUGAGAAACUCAAAGAGUCUGGCCUCUCAGGUCAAGUGGUUUUUCAUCAACUUGAUGUGGCUAACCCUGCUACUGUUGCUUCCUUGGCAGAGUUCAUCAAAACCCAGUUUGGGAAACUCGAUAUCUUGGUAUGUGGAAGAUUUUACUUUCAAAUCUAACUAUAUGAUAUGAACCCUCUGUACAAUUUACAGGUACCCUAGAAAGAUCAGUGGCUGGAGUUAAGGGAUUUGGCAAUGCCUUGAUGGUUGGUUAUAGAACCAAAUAGAUUAUCGAAGUAACCCGAGGAUCUACCAACUUUCUUUUAAUUGCAUUUUCUACAUUUUUCUUUUCUUUUCUAAAUUAAAAUAGAUAGUGAGACAGUUGGCUCUGCACAGGUGAACAAUGCAGGGAUUGGUGGAGCCAUAGGAGAUGCUGAUGGCUAUAUAGCUUUAGUAAAGUCUUUGGAAAUGGUAAGUCUUUCGAAUUAAUUUUUUCAAUAGCUAUCAAAACCUAAAAGGUUCAAUGUGUGGCUAUAAUGUGGAUUUGGGAGUGUGCUAUUUUGCCUCUGCGCCUAUCUGGAUUAGCUCCUUCUUGAUUGAUGAUAUGUUAGGGGUUGUUAGAACCCUUUAGUUUGUGCUGACAGUUUGUAGUCUGUUUGUUUUGGGGUUUGAUCCCCCACUAGUU